GCAAGUCGAACGAGCGAAAGGUAGCUUGCACCUCUAGCUAGUGGCGGACGGGUGAGUAACACGUGAGCAAUCUGCCUUUCGGUGGGGGAGUACCAAUUGGAAACGAAUUGUUAAUACCCCACUAACAUAACGAAGCCGCAUGACUUUGUUAUCAAAGAUUUAUUGCCGGAAGAUGAGCUCGCGUCUGAUUAGGUAGUUGGUGAGGUAACGGCUCACCAAGCCGACGAUCAGUAGCCGGACUGAGAGGUUGAACGGCCACAUUGGGACUGAGACACGGCCCAGACUCCUACGGGAGGCAGCAGUGGGGAAUAUUGCACAAUGGGCGAAAGCCUGAAUGCAGCGAUGCCGCGUGAGGGAAGAAGGUUUUAGGAUUGUAAACCUCUGUCUUUGGGGACGAUAAUGACGGUACCCAAGGAGGAAGCUCCGGCUAACUACGUGCCAGCAGCUGC
rnacentral:rRNA from 1 species